rnacentral:rRNA from 1 species
GACGAACGCUGGCGGCGUGCCUAAUACAUGCAAGUUGAGCGAUGAAGAUUGGUGCUUGCACCAAUUUGAAGAGCAGCGAACGGGUGAGUAACGCGUGGGGAAUCUGCCUUUGAGCGGGGGACAACAUUUGGAAACGAAUGCUAAUACCGCAUAACAACUUUAAACAUAAGUUUUAAGUUUGAAAGAUGCAAUUGCAUCACUCAAAGAUGAUCCCGCGUUGUAUUAGCUAGUUGGUGAGGUAAAGGCUCACCUAGGCGAUGAUACAUAGCCGACCUGAGAGGGUGAUCGGCCACACUGGGACUGAGACACGGCCCAAACUCCUACGGGAGGCAGCAGUAGGGAAUCUUCGGCAAUGGACGAAAGUCUGACCGAGCAACGCCGCGUGAGUGAAGAAGGUUUUCGGAUCGUAAAACUCUGUUGGUAGAGAAGAACGUUGGUGAGAGUGGAAAGCUCAUCAAGUGACGGUAACUACCCAGAAAGGGACGGCUAACUACGUG